ACAAGCGGUGGAUGAUGUGGUUUAAUCGAUGCAACGACGAAAACCUUACCACCUUGACAUGUACGGAAUCCUUUAGAGAUAGAGGAGUGCUCGAAAGAGAGCCGUAACACAGGUGCUGCAUGGCUGUCGUCAGCUCGUGUCGUGAGAUGUUGGGUUAAGUCCCGCAACGAGCGCAACCCUUGUCAUUAGUUGCUACAUUCAGUUGGGCACUCUAAUGAGACUGCCGGUGACAAACCGGAGGAAGGCGGGGAUGACGUCAAGUCCUCAUGGCCCUUACAUCCCGGGCUACACACGUGCUACAAUGGCAGGUACAGAGGGCUGCAAAGCCGCGAGGUAGAGCGAAUCCCAGAAAACCUGUCUCAGUCCGGAUUGAAGUCUGCAACUCGACUUCAUGAAGGCGGAAUCGCUAGUAACCGCGAAUCAGCAGGUCGCGGUGAAUACGUUCCCGGGCCUU
rnacentral:rRNA from 1 species